AAAAUCCAUAGGCAAAACUGCUGAAAAGCAGUGACGCAAAGCUAUAGGGACUACUUCCGAAACGGGAUAUGUCAGCCAGUUGCAAAU
rnacentral:ncRNA from 1 species